GCCAUGGUCCCAGCCAUCAGUCUGGAGUUCAAGAGCUCCCCCUGUUCAGGAAGAAGCAGCACUGUAGAGAAGUCCCCUGGAGAGACACCAAGGCACUAAAAUCACUGGCUAAUAGUCCCAGCGAUGAGACACCAGCUUGCCAGCCAUGAGAAUGAGCCAUCUGAGGAGUACAUCUUCUAGAUCCAAUUAAAUGAACACAGUUCAUUCCAUCUGCAGCAGAGAUGAACCCUUCCUGCCAGACCUUGCCCAAACUGUAAAUUUGUGAGCAAAAUAAAUGAUGAUUGUUAUUUCAAA